rnacentral:rRNA from 1 species
GGACCCGCACAAGUAGUGGAGCAUGUGGUUUAAUUCGAAGAUACGCGCAGAACCUUACCAACACUUGACAUGUUCGUCGCGACUUUAAGAGAUUAAAGUUUUCGGUUCGGCCGGACGAAACACAGGUGCUGCAUGGCUGUCGUCAGCUCGUGUCGUGAGAUGUUGGGUUAAGUCCCGCAACGAGCGCAACCCUCACUUUUAGUUGCCAUCAUUAAGUUGGGCACUCUGAAAGAACUGCCAGUGAUAAGCUGGAGGAAGGUGGGGAUGACGUCAAGUCCUCAUGGCCCUUACGUGUUGGGCUACACACGUGCUACAAUGGUAUUUACAACAGGAAGCAAGACUGCGAAGUUAAGCAAAUCCCUAAAAAAUACCUCAGUUCGGAUUGCACUCUGCAACUCGAGUGCAUGAAGCUGGAAUU